rnacentral:lncRNA from 1 species
GGACUCUUACGUGUUUAAGUGCAGGUACAGUGCCUUUUGUUAACCUCGAAAUCCAUUCUCACCUAACUCCCUUUUCCUGACUGCAAAGGGUAAUUGGGACUGUUAACGGGCUGUACUGCAGCCACAUUCCUCUUGUAGUCUAGGAUCCCAUUCCCUCCUAUUUGAUUUGCAUUACCCCAGAGGGUACAAGGGACUUUUAAAGUGCUUAAGUGGCACUAUAGUCCCUUAUGUUAUCUAGGACCCCAUUCCCAUCUAACUUUUCAUGACUGCAGAGUGUACUUGGGACUGUAAAUGUACUUAACUGCCUAUACAGUCUCACCCCUUAGUCCAAAUUACAUGCCCUCCUACUUGAAUUGUAUUAUAACAGAGGGUACAAGGGACUUUUAAUGUGCUUUUUUAAAAGCAGCUAAAUUUCCUUACCAUAACCUCAAAAUCCAUUUCCAUCUCAAAAUCCACUCCCACCUAACUCCCUUUCCAUCACAGCAGAGGGUACUUGGGACUGUUAAUAGGCUUAAUUAAAGCUAUUCUCCCUUCUGUUGGUCUAGAUUUCCUUUCCUGCCUCUAUUUGGAUUGUACCACAGUGUACAAUGGACUGUUAACUGUGCUUAAAUGCGGGUUCUUGCACACUAGACAAGGACACCCCCCCAUCCCCGCCAACUUCCUAUGCCUUCCGGUAAGUAGGUGGUUCCCACUGCUAAAACCUUUAUAUUUGGACAGUUAAUGUGCAGAAUUGCAGUUUUCCACAACCCAGUUACUUCCAGGACUGCUGUAUCUCCUUUGCAAUACCUCAAGGGAUACUGUUUUUCCCCAAGAUCUUUUCUUGUGGACCGUCAAUAUAUGUAAUUGAAAUGGUUGUCUUCAUCCAUAGACUAAGAUAAUAUCCCCUCAGCUAACUAUCAUGACCUCAGCUCUUGGACAAUUAAUAUUCACCAAUAACAUAUCAAAAGUACUGAUCAUUAGAUAGGACCCCUGUUCCCUUACUAUAUACAUCAGGGAUACUGACUAAGGCCCCCUUUUUUGACUGUUAAUGCGAAUAUUUGCAAUUAUCUAAUUCCCCUUCUAUUAGAGUAGGACAUUAUUUCCUUGCACCCCAUUUGGAUUACUGAAAGGGGCUGCUGACCACACAAAACUUCUACUGGGACUGCUGAUGAGCACAAUGACGAUGAGAAAUGGGUUUUUACUCCCUGGCCUUGUUGGGCAAGCGCUCCCAGCCCAGCCCCAAUUUCCCGUGGUAUAAUAAAG